rnacentral:ncRNA from 2 species
ACACGUUCAAAAGCGCCGGGACUGCGUGUGCAGUUGACGAGGCGGAGGAUGAUCGAACCAUUCGGCGGGUGCCUCCUUUUCGCGUCGCGCGGAAAAGAGCCGAUGCUCAAAACCCGUUCGCAAGGACGGCGACAAAAGCACGGCACGCGACACA